AUGACAACUAGCCAAAACGCUGCCAUUUUCAGUAGCGACUUACAAACGUUCAUUGUAACGAAAUAUGACCCUUUAUUAACCAUAGUAAAAGAGUUAAAUGAUAAGUUACAAAUUUCGGAAAAAGAAAAUUAUAGACUAGAAAAAAGACUGACAAGACUUGAAAGACAAAUGAUAAUAUUACUGAAAAAAUUAGAUGUGAGUGACAUAACUAUAGAUAUGGACGAUAAUGAAAUUACAAAAAUAACUGAAGAAGAAACUAAUACAACAAAAAAAAUCGAAAACAACGAGAAUUUAUCAACACCUUGGCUAUUUUCUUGCCAAUUAGGUACACCACUAUCAUCCUUACAAGUACUGUUAGAAUUUAAUGAAAAAGAUACCAUCGAAUUAAAUGUAAAAUUAUGGAGAAGGGAGGAAGACAUGUGGAUAAACUUUUUAGAAAAUAUAUCAAAAAAAAUUACUAGUAUUAAGAAUAGUAAUGUUACUGGUACUGAUGAUAAUAAUAAUACAAUAAAUAAGUUUUUACCAGAUUCAUAUGACUUAAUAAGCAUAAGAAGAUGCGUAAAAAAGUGUUUAUUAAAUUUAUGUACGGAUGAAAUAUUAAUUGUUUUAAGGAAUGUACCUGGAAAAACUCAGGCUAUUUAUAACACAGCAACUAUGACAUUAGUUGCAAUUCUUGCCUCGGCAGUUUUUGAGGCAUGGAAAAGAAUAGAAACGAUAGAUCCAAUGUCUCUAGGACGAACAGUGUUGGUUUUAGACGGUAAUAACAAGUUCUUACAUGUAGUUACACAUGGGCAUGUAUUUUGUAUAUACAAAUAUUUAAACAAUCAAUAUAAAUAUAUAUAUAUAUAUAUAUAUAUAUAUAUAUNNNNNNNNNNNNNNNNNNNNNNNNNNNNNNNNNNNNNNNNNNNNNNNNNNNNNNNNNNNNNNNNNNNNNNNNNNNNNNNNNNNNNNNNNNNNNNNNNNNNUAUUUUAUUUUAUUUUAUUUUAUUUAUUUUUUUUUUUUUAGGGGAAGACGUGGGAUCCAGACUAAGAGCAGGCAACAAGAAAUUAAAAAUAGAGCCGUUAAAUUAAAUGUUCAUUAAAAAAAAAAAAAAAAAAAAAAAAAAAAAAAAAAAAAAAAAAAAAAAACAUUUUGAAAAUAUGCACAUGUAUGUACAAAUUUUUACAACAUAAUGAUUUAUAAAAAUACAAACCGAUGACGUUACAAGUAGUUGCCACAAACAGCUAUGUUAAAUCGCGUAUCUAUUAUUAUACGUGUAUGUAUGUACGUACUUAUUCGUUUCCUUGUUUUUGUUCUUAUUUUUGUUCUUAUUUUUGUUCCCGCUUAUGUUCCCAUUUAUGAUCCUAUUUCUGUUUUUAUUUUAUUUUUUUUGAUGUUAUAUACACUACACUUUUUGUUAUACUCCCUCUUAAUUUUAUAUGCUCUCUCAUAACAUAUGGUUUUUUUUUGAAAAAAAAAAAUAUAUUCAUAUAUGUGUUUAAAUAUGUAGAAGCUGUUUUAGAAGAAAACUGAUUUUUUUUUUGUUUUUGUGAUUUAGUUGUUUCGUUUAUUAAUUUAUUUGUUUGUUAAUUUUUGCUCUCGCAAUGCGUAUGUAUAUAUAUAUAUAUAUAUAUAUAUAUAUAUAUAUAUAUAUACACGUGUAUAUACAUAUAUGUAUACGCACAAACAUGCAUUUAAAAUAUUUUUUUUUUUUUUUUUUUUUUAUUGUUACAAAAUUUGUUUUUAUAAAAAUAUAUGUACAGUUCAUAUUUUUUUUCAUAAAUAACUUAUAUUAAUGUGAUAAGCAAGCACGUUAUAUAUAUAAAAAAAAAAAAAAAAAAAAAAAAAUCUGAUAUACGUACGUGUGUUAAAGCAAAUUUUUAAUAUUCCAUCCAUUCAAUGCUUUUACUCUAAUAUAUCUUAGGAACUAAACUAUAUUACUCAUGCUUUAUAUAUAUAUAUACACAUAGGUACUUACGACCAAAGUAGUCUUCGCAAAUUUAAUACUUCUCUUAUUCAUUAUUUAUAAUAUAUAACUACAAAAUUAAACUAAUUACGUUUUACUGUGUUAGACCGUGUUAGACCGUGUUAGACCGUGUUAGACCAUGUUAGACCGUGUUAGACCAUGUUAUACCAUGUUAGACCAUGUACAGUUAUACCCUGUCAUACUUGCUCAUGUUGCAGUUACUCUGCUGUUACGCACGUCAUAUUAUAUAUAAUUGAAAAUUGGAUAUACCCCACGACAACUUAUUAGGGUCAUUCACCUGAUUGGUCGUACCAAACUGUACAAUUAAUUUAUUGGACGUAUGUGGGAAAAUAACAUCAAUCAACGAAUAGAAUUUUGACUCGGGUAUUGAAUUACCACAUAUAUUAAUUGAGUUUUGUUUAUUUAGUUGUGAAUGUGUGUCUGUCCAUACAUAAAAAAAGUUUUGUUGUUGUUCACUAUUUUUAAUUUGUAAAUAAGCCGUUUCACCUUGCCAGUCAUCUAUAAAAUGAAAAUUUGUUUUAAUUUUAAUUUUGGUAUGGCUAGGUAAAUUAUCAAAUACUUUUAAAAUUGUUCCUUGGGAUAAAUAUCCAUAUCCACCUAACAAAUUUAUUCCUCCACAUACGGAUAUAUGAUUAUUAAAAUUAUUUGUACCUGUCCAACCUAUAGUAGUAGAACUAUCAGUAAAAGACUCAUGAAGAAGCAUGUUAAAUUGUUCAUUGUUUUUUAUUUUUAUACUAUUUUCUACGUUUAAUACUUUUACUGAUAUAUCAGUAUUUAAAAAAUUUAAAUUAUCAUGGCUAUCUAUACUUAUAAUUGGUUUUUUUUUUUUACUCAAAAUUAAUUCAUUUUGCUCAUUUAUACCUAGUUUAUAUUCGAUUUCUUUAUUUACAAAUAUUAACCCGUUUUCAGCAUUAUUUUUUGAUGAAAUUUUAAGAUUUGCAACUGUUAAGUUCCCUUUAACUUCAAGUUCGUUUUCACUGCUAGCCGUUUUAGCGUAAAAACAGAUAAUACUAACUAGCCAAAGUUUUAUCAACAUUUUGGCUAGCUAUGGAGAAAGGCAAAAAAAAAAAAAAUUUUUUUUUUUUAGCAUAUAAACUGUACAUAUAAACUGUACAUAUAAACUGUACAUAUAAANNNNNNNNNNCUGUACAUAUAAACUGUACAUAUAAACUGUACAUAUAAACUGUACAUGUAAACUGUACAUAUAAAACGUAUGUCUAAAAAAAAGAAAAAAAAUAUCACGCUAUUUUAAAAAGCACUAUUAUCACAAAAAAAAAAAAAAAUAAAUAAAAUAAAAUAAAAUAAAAUAAUAAUAAU
rnacentral:lncRNA from 1 species